GUACUUACCUGGAAGGGCAGGUACCAUGAUCAGGAAGGUAGUUUUCCCAGGGUGAGGCUUAUCCAUUGCACUCCCGAUGCGCUGACCCCUAUGAUUUCUCCAAAUGUGGGAAACUCAACUGCAUAAUCUGUGGUAGUAGGGGACUGCAUUCGUGCUCUUCCUUG
ensembl:snRNA U1 U1 spliceosomal RNA